GNUCAUGGCUCAGGAUGAACGCUGGCGGCGUGCUUAACACAUGCAAGUCGAACGAACCUUCGGGUUAGUGGCGGACGGGUGAGUAACGCGUGAGAAUCUGCCCUCAGGAGGGGGAUAACGGUUGGAAACGACCGCUAAUACCCCAUAUGCCUACUGGUGAAAUGAAUUUCGCCUGAGGAUGAGCUCGCGUCUGAUUAGCUAGUUGGUGAGGUAAUGGCUCACCAAGGCUUCGAUCAGUAGCUGGUCUGAGAGGAUGAUCAGCCACACUGGGACUGAGACACGGCCCAGACUCCUACGGGAGGCAGCAGUGGGGAAUUUUCCGCAAUGGGCGAAAGCCUGACGGAGCAACGCCGCGUGAGGGACGAAGGCCUCUGGGCUGUAAACCUCUUUUCUCAAGGAAGAAGAUAUGACGGUACUUGAGGAAUAAGCCACGGCUAAUUCCGUGCCAGCAGCCGCGGUAAUACGGGAGUGGCAAGCGUUAUCCGGAAUUAUUGGGCGUAAAGCGUCCGCAGGCGGCUUUUCAAGUCUGCUGUUAAAGCGUGGAGCUUAACUCCAUCAUGGCAGUGGAAACUGAAAGGCUUGAGUAUGGUAGGGGCAGAGGGAAUUCCCGGUGUAGCGGUGAAAUGCGUAGAUAUCGGGAAGAACACCAGUGGCGAAGGCGCUCUGCUGGGCCAUUACUGACGCUCAUGGACGAAAGCCAGGGGAGCGAAAGGGAUUAGAUACCCCUGUAGUCCUGGCCGUAAACGAUGAACACUAGGUGUCGGGGGAAUCGACCCCUUCGGUGUCGUAGCUAACGCGUUAAGUGUUCCNCCUGGGGAGUACGCACGCAAGUGUGAAACUCAAAUGAAUUGACGG
rnacentral:rRNA from 1 species